GUUUAAAUAGUUUAACAAAAACAUUAGUCUUGUAAACUAAAAAUAAGAAUUGUUCUUUUUAAACUUCAAGAA
rnacentral:tRNA from 1 species